rnacentral:tRNA from 1 species
UCCCUGGAGGACUAGUGUUUAGGCCACGGCAGUCUCACCUCUGCGGCCCGGGUUCAACUCCCAGCCAGGGAA